UGCACCAAAGAAUAAUGAAAUGAAAUGAAACAUAGACAGGUGUACUAUAUUUGUCCAUAAAAUGAUCAUUUGUCCAAUGGAAAGGACAUCUUGAUGAGUCUUCAACAGUCUAUAUAUUGCGAACUGCUAUCUGUACAAAUGAAUCCCAGCUGAGACAAUGACUCUUCUCAUAGAAACAUACAGUAUUGCGAAGGUUUUUAAGGGAAAAUAUAAAUCCAGUGAGUUUCUUACCUAUCGAGCUGGACAGGCCAAUUUUGGGUGUGCGUUGUACAUUUUCCCCACACGCUCGGCAUUGAUUGAAUAACUGAAUGGGAAUGACACGAGCGCCCCUCCCAUUUCCUGCCCACAGUUCUGCUCCGGAAAAGUGACCAAACAAAAAUGGCUUUUGUAAAUCAACCGGUAUGCCAUAUGUGUUUGAGCCAGAGUCAUAUCUCAAAUUUAUAGCCAUGGAGGAAAACCAGGACCCCAGUUCAAGAAUCAAAGGUCCUGCAGAAGCUGUCCGAAUGGUGUGGAAACACAGCCGUCGGAUUAAUCUCCCCUUGUUGAGUCACAAAGCCGCUGAAAGCUGUCUGCCCGGGACCGGAGUGCUCAUUGAAAAGCAGAAGAGCAUACGAAAGGGAAGACGACCGUGAGGAUGCCAGGCGAUCCCAAACGUCAGGAAAUGCCUCAUUCUUCAAGCACCGUCGCAUCCCCCUGAAACAACCAGAAAAAAGUCUAACACAGACUUGAAUACACAACCCUUGAACUUUGA